rnacentral:rRNA from 1 species
AUUGAACGCUGGCGGCAUGCUUUACACAUGCAAGUCGAACGGCAGCGCGGGGCAACCUGGCGGCGAGUGGCGAACGGGUGAGUAAUAUAUCGGAACGUACCCAGAAGUGGGGGAUAACGUAGCGAAAGUUACGCUAAUACCGCAUACGAUCUACGGAUGAAAGUAGGGGACCGCAAGGCCUUAUGCUUUUGGAGCGGCCGAUAUCUGAUUAGCUAGUUGGUGAGGUAAAGGCUCACCAAGGCGACGAUCAGUAGCUGGUCUGAGAGGACGACCAGCCACACUGGAACUGAGACACGGUCCAGACUCCUACGGGAGGCAGCAGUGGGGAAUGUUGGACAAUGGGCGCAAGCCUGAUCCAGCAAUGCCGCGUGAGUGAAGAAGGCCUUCGGGUUGUAAAGCUCUUUUGUCAGGGAAGAAACGGUAGAGGCUAAUAUCCUUUGCUAAUGACGGUACCUGAAGAAUAAGCACCGGCUAACUACGUG